GAGGAAAAGAAACCAACAGGGAUUGCCUCAGUAACGGCGAGUGAAGCGGCAACAGCUCAAAUUUGAAAUCUGGCCGCAAGGUCCGAGUUGUAAUUUGCAGAGGAUGCUUUUGGCGAGGUGCCUUCCGAGUUCCCUGGAACGGGACGCCAUAGAGGGUGAGAGCCCCGUACGGUAGGACCACCGAGCCUCUGUAAAGCUCCUUCGACGAGUCGAGUAGUUUGGGAAUGCUGCUCUAAAUGGGAGGUGUACGUCUUCUAAAGCUAAAUACCGGCCAGAGACCGAUAGCGCACAAGUAGAGUGAUCGAAAGAUGAAAAGCACUUUGAAAAGAGGGUUAAAAAGUACGUGAAAUUGUUGAAAGGGAAGCAUUCAUGACCAGACUUGGGCUUGGUUGAACAUCCGGCGUUCUCGCCGGUGCACUCUGCCAGUCCAGGCCAGCAUCAGUUUGCCCCGGGGGAUAAAGGCGGUGGGAAUGUGGCACCCUCCGGGGUGUGUUAUAGCCCGCCGUGUAAUGCCCUGGGGUGGACUGAGGAACGCGCUUCGGCACGGAUGCUGGCGUAAUGGUCAUCAAUGACCCGUC
rnacentral:rRNA from 1 species